GAGGGUAUAGCUUAGUGGUAAAGUAUGUGCCUAGCAUGCACGAGGUGCUGGGUUCAGUCCCCAGUACCUCCA
rnacentral:tRNA from 1 species